rnacentral:rRNA from 1 species
AUUGAACGCUGGCGGCAGGCCUAACACAUGCAAGUCGAACGAGGGGCGGACGGGUGAGUAAUGUCUGGGAAACUGCCCGAUGGAGGGGGAUAACUACUGGAAACGGUAGCUAAUACCGCAUACCAUCGGAUGUGCCCAGAUGGGAUUAGCUAGUAGGUGGGGUAAAGGCUCACCUAGGCGACGAUACCUAGCUGGUCUGAGAGGAUGACCAGCCACACUGGACCUGAGACACGUUCCAGACUCCUACGGGAGGAAGCAGUGGGGAAGUUUGUACAAUGGGCGCAAGCCUGAUGCAGCCAUGCCGCGUGUAUGAAGAAGGCCUUCGGGUUGUAAAGUACUUUCAGCGAGGAGGCGUUACUCGCAGAAGAAGCACCGGCUAACUCCGUGCCAGCAGCCGCGGUAAUAC